AUGUCCAGUUUGAGUUUGGGGGUAAAGAGUAUAAAAAAUGACCAAAUUGAAAUUUUUUUGUACCUUCAACUACGAACGAGUUUCAUUUGUUUCCAUGUUGUUGCUUUUUGUUUUCUUAAUUAGUUUUGUUUUCUUUUAAAAAAUUAAAAAAAAAUCGGAAAUUUUAAAAAAUCCAAAAAUAUUGUCUUGUUUCCCUUAUUGUUUUGAAUUAGAUUUUUGUUAGUUUCCCGACCCAAUGAUAUAAUUGGAUCAAAUUUGAACCAUGAUCAUCAAGAACUUAGUUAACAUGUGUUUUGUGAAAUUCCUAAUUCUCUUGUUAGUUUUGUACAUGUUUGAUCAUCUUUGAAAAACCAAAUGCACAUAGCCUUGUUGAUGUGAAACUAAAGCAUGACUUAAAGCUUCAUAUGUGAAUUUAGUGACCAUAUACAUCCUAUGUGAGUUUUUGAGCCUAUUGAAAGUGUGUGCAUUUUUCAUACACUCCUAUUUUUUUUUUUUUAUGUGUGAUGAACUUAUGUGAGAUACAUCUCUAGAACUUGCGUAACGAUCUUUCGAAAUGUUUGUCAUUGAUUGCAUGAACUUGGAAAUGAUAGAGGCAUUAGGUUUACCACUAUGGCCCAAAUAACCAUGUUUCCUAAAGAAAAAUGAUAUCAUUAGAUUGCCAAUUUGAGCCGUAUUUGUUGAGCCUUUUAUUUCUUAUCACCAGAUAUGUCUACCCUUAUACCUGAAACAUUUUUCCUUACCCUUUCCAAGCGAGCAAUGAGAGAUUGUCUUAUGAGAAAUGUUUGUGAAGUACUUUGAAGGUGUUUGGCAAAAGAAUAAGUGUGGGGGUAUUUCAUGUUUGUAUUUAAAAAAAAAAAAAAAAAAAAAAAAAAAAGAGAAGAAAAGAAAAAGAAAGAUUGUAUACAAAUAAAAUAAAAAGUUUUUAAAGUUUCAGUUUAAGGGUGUGGUUGGAGGUGCUAGAAGAAUUGCUAGAGAGCUUGAGUUCUUAUAAAUCUAAAGAAAAGAAUUGCUUGCAAUGUAGCUUGGAACUUGUGUUUUCCUAUUCUAUCGUUUCAAUAACCCUAUCCCUAAACCUCAUUACAUCCAAUAAAAGUCCUCUUGAUUUAAGUUUUGCAAUUAUGAUUGUGGAGAUGAGAUCUUUAUGCAAGCUUAUGGUAGAAAUUUCACAUUUGAUUCUUUGAGCGAAACACAUUUAAACUAAACACAUGUGUGAUUGAGUGUAUAUCAUGUGAGAAGGUUGCUAGUUUGCAUAUGAUGAUUUUAAAAAUAUAAAAAAUUUUGAAAUUGCAUUAGCUUGGCUAUCUCACACACUACACUUCAAGGAUGAUUCAAAGAUUACUGCUAAUAUUUGAAUAAGGAAGAUGAACUUGGAUUAGUUCCUUGAUGCUAGCUAUGGUUCUUGAUGAUUUGUUUUCUUGAAUGAAAUUCUAUGAGGGUCACAUAGAGGGAAGCUAAUGUUUUUCAUGUUAUUACUUUUUCAUAUUUUCUUUGUUUUGCUAGAGGACUAGCAAAGAUGUAAGUUUGGGGGUAUUUGAUCACUCAUAUAUUUCAUACAUUU
rnacentral:lncRNA from 1 species